GAUGAACGCUGGCGGCGUGCCUAACACAUGCAAGUCGAACGGAGUUCUUAAGGAAUGCGGCUUCGGCCAAAUGACUUUUGAACUUAGUGGCGGACGGGUGAGUAACGCGUGAGCAACCUGCCUUUCAGAGGGGGAUAACAUUUGGAAACAGAUGCUAAUACCGCAUAAGAUUACAGUACCGCAUGAUACAGUGAUCAAAGGAGCAAUCCGCUGAAAGAUGGGCUCGCGUCCGAUUAGAUAGUUGGUGAGGUAAUGGCUCACCAAGUCGACGAUCGGUAGCCGGACUGAGAGGUUGAACGGCCACAUUGGGACUGAGACACGGCCCAGACUCCUACGGGAGGCAGCAGUGGGGAAUAUUGCACAAUGGGCGAAAGCCUGAUGCAGCAACGCCGCGUGAGGGAAGACGGUUUUCGGAUUGUAAACC
rnacentral:rRNA from 1 species